GAACUGUUUAUUGUUAAAAGUGAUAAAUAUAUAAAACUACAUAUACAUAUUAUUUAAAGCGACCUAAAAUUUGGUAAGAUCACAUUAUCAUCAUGGAGAAUAUGGAGCUCUCGUUUACUUUUGACGAGUUCAAUUAUGAGCGUGAUUUCACUGCCGAUAACUAUGAAUUUGAAUGUUUAUGGGUCGAGUAUGCCGAAGAGAUGCAGCGGGUUGAUGAAUUCGCAGACUUAGAGCAAAAAUUUGUCAAACAGUUGACAAUAGCGGACACAUCUUAAAUAAUCAUGCUUUAUGGGCUCAUAUGUUGAUGUCUUACGCAUUUUAAGGGUUACAUUUACAGCAUGUUUUGCAGAGCAAAGCAAGUGCUUACGUUAAUAAAUAUCAAAUCACCUCGAUA